GCUUUCGUGGUGUAAUGGACAGCACAUUCGACGCUUAUGCGAGAGGUCCGAGGUUCGAGUCCCGGCGAGGGCA
rnacentral:tRNA from 1 species